GGUCCUUUGGCCCAAUGGUAAGGCGUCUGACUACGAUUAGUAUCAAUCAGGAGAUUCUGGGUUCGAGCCCCAGGAGGACCU
rnacentral:tRNA from 3 species